AGCUCCAAUAUUGUAUAUUAAAGUUAUUGUAGUUAAAAAGCUUGUAGUUUGAUGUCUGUUGGGAGCAAUCAGUAUGGCACUUUGUGUAUUAGCUUGCAUUGUCUCUGACUAUCCUUGGAAAGAAUCAGUCUGGUAUUAGGUUGUUGGGUAGAGGAUUUCCAUCUUUUACUGUGAAAAAUUAGAGUGUUCAAAGCAGGAUUAAGGCGUUGAAUAUAUUAGCAUGGAAUAAUGAUAUAGGACUUGGUUGCUAUGUUGUUGGUUUACGUGCCAUGGUUAUGAUUAACAGGGACAGUUGGGGGUAUUUGUAUUCCAAUGUCAGAGAUGAAAUUCUUUGAUUAUUGGAAGAAAACCUACUGUGAAAGCAUUUACGAAGGAUUUUUUCA
rnacentral:rRNA from 1 species